GAGAGAGAGAGAGGAGAGAAAUUCUCUCUCCUGGUUUUUAAAUUCAGACAUCAUUUCUCAUACAGCAAUGCAGACAAGAAACAACAAAAAAAAAUGUAUGACAGAUUGCACCCAAGAAAAAUAUUAUACAGUUUAAUGACUUUUCUGCGAGUCAGGCACUUUUAUUGUAACUUAAUUUAUGACUGGAAAAAUCAGAUAACCAAAAAAUACAGAUUAAAAAAAUGAAAUAUAGUAAAGAGCACAGGUUCUUUAGAGAAACAAGAGAAGGAAUAGUAUCCAAAGUGUAUUUAUUGAUUCAGUUUGUGCAGCUUUCCACCCAACUUCCACUGGGUGGCAAACAACCCUAAUACCAAUUAAAAACAGAAUACUGGGCAACCCUGGUCUUGGGAGGGACAAUGUUCUAGAAGGGGGGUUAUAUGCACCCUUUCCUUUCCUUCCUUUCAUUUGCCAAUACCUCCCCCACCUUAAUGCUCCAAACUAAAGUUACCUUCAUUAAUGAAACCAUCCUAUUUUUAGUUAGCCGAAUUUCAACAGGAAAUGGUGGAAACACCUGCUAGUCUUCAGCGAUCUGGAAGAGACAGAAAGAAGUCCAUCAUACUGUUGCCAAAGUGUCUUGCAGAGUUAUUCCCUGUUUUGUCUGAUCGACACAAGUAUUAGCAACAAGAUAUCCCAUCCAGGGACUCCCUAGUCCAUCAAAUGUACAGAAAGGAAAAAGAAACCCUGUUUCCCUGCCCUUUUCUCCCAAAGACAUUAUAUCAGGAUGGAGUACCAAGUACAGCAGAGAACUCAAAGUUUUCAAUCUUAUUUUCAGUUUGCUACAUACGUGAAUCCUAUUUGAUGGAUCUCACAGUAGAGAAUCUGACUCCAGGCGGAUGAGAAGGAUUGCCAGCCAUGUUCUUCAAAUUGAUGUGGAAUUGAGGGGGGGUGGGGGAGAUACCUUUGAUUGGAACUUCCUAUUCUCAGCAAUCUCAUUGUCAAAAUACACAUGUGCAAUUUAAGGUACCUUCUUUAGGCCUCCAGAGCUGUCCUCUCCCUCUAUGGUUACUCCCAGCUUCUUAAAUCCCAGGCUCUUUGGAAGGAGGAUGCUUUGGGAUGGCAUUUCAAGGAAAGGGCCCUAUAAACACUUUUGGUCUCUUAUAUGCAAUUCUGGCCAUGGUGCACUACAGUUAAAAGAGGCCUCUUUAUGAAGAAGGGAAACAACUCUUGUGACGUGCCAAAUUCCCAUGAUACUUGGUGCCUAUCCUCAAGAACAAUCCCCCACUCAAGAUUAUUCACAUAUAUUGGAACAUUUCACUGGAGUUCUAACGUCUGAUUCCGUGAAUGUUUGCACUGGCCCCAUUUUCCUCCAAACUCCCCUGGGACUUCGAUCCCUUACCUUCAAAAUAAAAAUCAUAUGCUGUGUUGUUGCCGACUGCUUAAGAAGGCCUUGGAACAUGAGCACAAAGACCUCCUCCAGCAACUUCUUCUCUACCUGAAACGAAAGACAGAGAUGAUGCUGUGCAGAACGUUUUCCGAGCCGUGCCAAAUCCAAAAAGAAGCCAAACAUGUAUGUCUCAUGACAUCAUGUGUUAUACAAAUCCAACUUUGGUCUCAUGGUGAAGGCACCAGAAAACGAAAGUGAGAGACCUACCUUAGCCAAGAAAGCCGGCUGGGUGACUUUUGGCCAAUCACUCUCAGCUCAACCCACCUGACAGGGUUGUUGUUGUUGGGAAAAAAGAAGGAAGAAGUGCUUUACGGCCCUCUCUAAGGGGUUUACAGAAUCAGGAUAUUGCCCCUAAAAUCUGGCUCCUCAUUUUACUGACCUCAGAGGGAUGGAAGACUGUCAACUUUGAACCGGUUCCUAGAGACCUUCUUCUGGCAUUGGUGUGUGUAGAAAAGGUGGAGAAGAUGAUCUUGGAUAGGAUCCCAAAGGAGGCCUAUCAUAUCCUUGAGGACUCUUCUGGCUUUAUGAUGUCAUCCAUCCAGCUCAACUAUCAGUUUCUGUCAGCUCUCAGUGAUCUGAGUGAAGAUGGCUUCCAAGAUAAAUGAAGGAAGGUGAGCAAUCCAGGAGCUGGUGCUUUUAAGUUCUGCAACCUGCUGACUGGAGGACAGCACCAAGACUCCUGGGAGGAACAGUCAAAUGUAUUAUUGACAUGGAACUCCAAAAUGUGGAGCAAUGUGAUUUCUCAACAAGGGUCAGCACCAGGAAGAAGAAGAUUCUCUUUAUGAAAAGGGACAUCAAAAAACAAGACAAACUAAUGUUUGUGGCAAGAGAUCCAUGAGAGGACCAGGAAGACAGCCAAACCAAUAGGCUCUGAUGGAGGAAAACCAUUGAAGCAGCUUCACGGCAGGACUAGAUGCAUUACUUUCAGUCUAUGACAUCAGCAAGGUUCCCCCAGCCAUGGACCUCACGCAUUGAGUCUCGCCUUCUGGAGAUCAUUGGGUUCAUGUGGUUGUCCUCAAUAGGCCAAGAGAAGAAGGGGAAUGACUGUGUAAGACACUUUGGCAACAGUACGAUGGACUUCUUUCUAUCGCUUCCAGUUCACUGAAGUCCAGUAGGCAUUUCCACCAUUUCUGGUUGAAAUUCAGCUGGCUGAAAAUAAGGAUAGUUUCAUUAAUGAAGAAAGAAAGGGAUUAAGAGGCUGCCUUCCAGAGUAGUUCCUGAUAUUUCAAGAAAAGAAACUGGAGAACCAUUCACCCAUUUUCAGCCUGGCAGUGACGGGCGUUCAUAUUGAGCAGGAGAAGGACCAUGAGUCACCUCCUUCCCAGCCAGGAGAUGAAGGACCACUAUUGGCAGAUUUCCAAGAUGAAUUCCAUAUGCUAAAGGAGUUCUUGACUGAGUUUGCUGACACUGAACCGCUUUUUUCUUCCAUUGAGCCUCUGCAUCAGAAGACUCCCAAGAAGAGCCUUAAAAGGAAGUGUCCCAAUCCUGGAUCCCCACUUUUAUCAAAGAGAUCCAGGAUCAGUGUGACAUAAGGGCCCAAUCCUCAAGGCAGCCAUGUCUUCUGUUCAGACCCCGUGGGCUCUAAAUCACCUAAAUGGAAAGAAAAAUCUCUUUCAUUGAAGAGGCUCUUGCCAAAAAAAUUCAAGGAAGAGCAGAAGAAAACUUAGCAUCAUGCAUCCUCUAAGACCUGAGCAAAAGGGCAGCUUCUCUAAACUAAAGAGAAAGCAAGGGAAAAUGUGAGCCUAUCUGGGACAAAAAAUAAAAAAAUGCUACCCCAAAAUAGAAGUGGAAGAAGCAGCAAAUCUAAUCCCAAGGACCAACCUGGCUUUAAAAGUGAUGGAGCCUCUACUAGUGUUUCAUCUAUGGGGAACUAGAAUGUUCAUUGCUUCCUUCACACCCACUACCCAACCUUUAUCCCAUGAUCUGCCUAAGCCACAAUCACAGCCUUAGCAAAAAUGUCAUUGCUUGUUGUGUCUUUGUCGACUUAGCCACCAAAGCCUCUGGAGAAGCAAAUGCCCCUUGCUGCAAUCCCUGCCACAAAGCCCUGGGAUUCUGGAUUUCCAUGCACCAGGGUUGGAGAAUCCAGACUAGUUGGGCCUUGGAAUCUAACAUGGACGAGAAAAACCCAGAUUUGCAGAAGCAUCUCUUAAUCCAACCCUCCACUCCACCAACCUGCUGCAGCAUAAUAAAACUGACCACGGUUUGCAGCUGCUCCACAACACGUGUAGCCUCGGUGCCAUCUUCGAACAUCAAAGGUGGAGAUCAGUAGCAGAGACAUCCUUUCUUCAAAUGACUGAUGUUCCAUGAAUCUAAAAGCAAAAACAUCAGAGUAUUUUAAGGUCAGAAGAGUAGAACAGUGCAAAUACUGUAUUUUCUACACACACCAAUGCCAGCCCAAGGUCUCUGGGAACCUACUAAUUACUCAACAAAGCUGCCUAUUUCUCAUCUUUUGCAUGGUCUUUGAUUGUAGACUGCCUCUUUAUAUGGAAGCUCCAUUAAACCUUUUUUCACAUGCCAAAUUAAUGUUAGAUGAUGGUGUGCCCUAGGUUUUUAAAUUGAGACAUCAUUUCUCCUAUAGCAAGGCAGGCAAGAAAAAAACCUGAGACAUUUAUGAUGGUUGCCGUAUCCCAGAGUCACGUGAUCCCCUUUUGUGAUCUGACAAGCAACGACAAUGGGGAAACCAGAUUCAAUUGAGAACCAGGUUACUAGUUUAACAACUGCAGUGAUUCACUUAACAAAUGUGGCAAGGAAAGUUGUAAACGGGGGCAAAAUUCACUUAACAAAUGUUUCACUUAGCCACAUAAAGCUUGGGCUCAACCGUGGUCGUAAGCGGAGGACUACCUAUAAUUGACAAAAUGGAACUCCCCAUCUUCCUUGUUUCUGAGGUCUCCUGUAUAUAUGCUCUUCCUAUUAAUUUGUAUCUUUAAUUUUAUGUAGAUUGAGAGCGUGUGCACCAAAACAAAUUCCGUGUGUGUCCAAUCACACUUGGCCAAUAAAAAAUUCUAAUUCCUAUUCAUUCUUAACUGUUCAAUUUUGGAAUAAAUAAAAUCAUCUUUUCUUUGCCAUCUUUUAUUUGGCACUUCUAAGAAGAGUUUGAAAUAAAACAUUUAUUUUUUUAAAAUGCCAUCAAUUUAACUGCCACAAUUCAACACAGAACUCUUAAAUAUUUUUAAUAUUUAUUAGAAGGGUUUUUAAUAAAUAUUAGAAGGGUUUCUGUGGAGUUUAGGACUUUUUGGCUCCUAUCCUUGGCUGCGCCUGCCGAGGAGAAAAGCUAGAGAAGAAUUCCCAGAGGCGGAAGCCUGGCGGAAAGGCAGGCACGGCCAAGGCUAGGAGCCAAAAAAACUCCCAUUCUACCUCUGUGGGUGUAUUUAAAAUACUAUCUCACCUAAUAUUUAGAGAAAGAUAUGAAACUCCGUGAGUUGUGACUUUUACCAAAAUUACUCAUAACACUGAUACGUAUGCAAAUUCUUCCAAUUCAAUCUUAAUGUGCUUAGCUGCAUUACUGGAAUUUGCAAAAAAAUAAUGUCUCAUCUUCAAACAAGCCAACAGUCCCCGGAUUAAGAAUGACUACGAUUCCUAACUCUUGUCUUUCCCUUGGAUUUGUAUGUAAGUCAGAACUCUUCCUGAACGGACUGCCUAUUAAAUAGUUUAACCCUAACCCUUGUGGUGAAAUGUAAUUAACUUGAAAGUGAACCCCGGAUUGUAUCUUAUUUCUCUGUAGUAAUUGUUCCAUUACACAUUUGAAGGCCUUUUUUUUUUUUAUACCAUAGCAGGACUGACUUCUUUUUUUAAAGAAAUUUUCCUUCAAGAUUCCGUGGGACUUCGAUGCCCUUUUCUUCAAAAUAAAAAUCAGGUUCUCUGAACUUUGGAGACUGCCAAAAAAGGCCUCUGAGCACCACCUGCCUCUUACUUACCAGGAGGUCACGUCUGUAGAGAUCCUUGUUCGAGGGUACCAAGACUGUCAUUUGCCCAGUCUGUUUAUACCCAAAAGAGAGCAGUGAUGGGACUGAGGUCCUGUUCCACAUUUUGCUCCUGCUGCAACGGAAAAGAGUCAGGCUGUUAGGGAGGCUAUGAGGCUCCUUGCCCCCAGGAUCUCCAGAUCUAACCCUUUCAGAAGGAAAGCUUGAAACCCUUCUGAAUCUCUCUCCAUCCUGAGGAAUUGCGCAAAACUGUCAGAACUGGCUUUUCUCCUUCUAUAUCCAUAUGGCUUUUCAAUAAAGUUAUACUCUUGGAGAAAAAAA